UGGUGAUAUCUCCUUACCGUUAUCAAUGGAGGUACUCGGCUUUACUGUGGUAGAUGAUUUUAAAAGUGUUUUGCUUACUUUAGACAUGUGAUUAGUUCCAGUGAAAAAAUUCAAUCAUCGGACUAAUACUUCAUAUUCUGUAAGAUAAAACAUGUAUUAUAAAUAUUCCUUUACUUAGACGCGAGUCGUCAAGAGUAUGGUGUGAGGAUGGGUUAGAUGCCCU
rfam:Bacillus sp. FJAT-25509 super3, whole genome shotgun sequence.